AUGGCCGCCACCUGCCGCCUCGCCGCGCCACUGGGUCUCGCCCCGCUGCCUCGCAGGUGCGCCGGCGUCAAGAGCGUCGCUCUCUCGAUAGGCACCACCAAGAUAGCUACACGGACACGGAGCGUCGCGGUGAGGGCGGGCGACGGCCCGGCGGAGACGCCGGAAAUCCUCAAGGCUGCGCAGGACGCGUGGGCAAAAGUUGAGGACAAGUACGCCGUGGCCACCAUCGGCGUCGCCGGGCUCGUCGCGCUCUGGACAGCAGUGGGGGCGCUCAAGUCCAUUGACAAGCUUCCUAUCUUGCCUGGUGUGUUGGAGCUCGUUGGAAUCGGGUACACAGGAGUAAGUUCAUCAAGCAUCUGUCCACGUACCUUUUGUCUUUCUGAGAAAGACCAUGUAUAUGUUGUUCGGUUAUUAUCUUCUCUAACAUCACCCAAAUGCUGCUACUUCGUGUUCAUACAGUGGUUCACAUAUCGCAACCUCAUCUUUCAGCCAGACAGGUGA
rnacentral:rRNA from 1 species